rnacentral:rRNA from 1 species
CCUACGGGAGGCAGCAGUAGGGAAUAUUCGUCAAUGGGCGCAAGCCUGAACGAGCAAUGCCGCGUGAACGAGGAAGGUCUUCGGAUCGUAAAGUUCUGUUGAAGGGGAGAAAGAGCGGAGAGAGGAAAUGAACUCCGAUUGAUAUUACCCUUCGAGGAAGUCACGGCUAACUACGUGCCAGCAGCCGCGGUAAUACGUAGGUGGCGAGCGUUAUCCGGAAUGAUUGGGCGUAAAGGGUGCGUAGGCGGCCUGCUAAGUCUGGAGUGAAAGGUACGGGUUCAACCGGUAUAGGCGCUGGAAACUGGCGGGCUAGAGAGCAGGAGAGGGCGGUGGAACGCCAUGUGUAGCGGUAAAAUGCGUAGAGAUAUGGAAGAACACCAGUGGCGAAGGCGGCCGCCUGGCCUGUGACUGACGCUGAGGCACGAAAGCGUGGGGAGCAAACAGGAUUAGAUACCCGAGUAGUC